CGAAGGACCCUAAGCGUUAUCCGGAUUUAUUGGGUUUAAAGGGUGCGUAGGCGGGUUAUUAAGUCAGUGGUGAAAGCCUACAGCUUAACUGUAGAAUUGCCAUUGAUACUGAUGAUCUUGAGUAUGAUUGAGGUGGGCGGAAUGUGUCAUGUAGCGGUGAAAUGCUUAGAUAUGACACAGAACACCGAUUGCGAAGGCAGCUCACUAAGCCAUAACUGACGCUGAUGCACGAAAGCGUGGGGAGCAAACAGGAUUAGAUACCCUGGUAGUCCACGCCCUAAACGAUGAUCACUCGAUGUGUGCGAUACACUGUACGCGUCUGAGCGAAAGCAUUAAGUGAUCCACCUGGGGAGUACGACCGCAAGGUUG
rnacentral:rRNA from 1 species